rnacentral:rRNA from 1 species
UGCGGAACACGUGUGCAACCUACCUUUAUCAGGGGGAUAGCCUUUCGAAAGGAAGAUUAAUACCCCAUAAUAUAUUGAAUGGCAUCAUUUAAUAUUGAAAACUCCGGUGGAUAGAGAUGGGCACGCGCAAGAUUAGAUAGUUGGUAGGGUAACGGCCUACCAAGUCAAUGAUCUUUAGGGGGCCUGAGAGGGUGAUCCCCCACACUGGUACUGAGACACGGACCAGACUCCUACGGGAGGCAGCAGUGAGGAAUAUUGGACAAUGGGUGAGAGCCUGAUCCAGCCAUCCCGCGUGAAGGACGACGGCCCUAUGGGUUGUAAACUUCUUUUGUAUAGGGAUAAACCUACUCUCGUGAGAGUAGCUGAAGGUACUAUACGAAUAAGCACCGGCUAACUCCGUGCCAGCAGCCGCGGUAAUACGGAGGGUGCAAGCGUUAUCCGGAUUUAUUGGGUUUAAAGGGUCCGUAGGCGGGCUUGUAAGUCAGUGGU